AGCAGCCGCGGUAAUUCCAGCUCCAAUAGCGUAUAUUAAAGUUGUUGCAGUUAAAAAGCUCGUAGUUGAAUUUCGGGGUUAGCAGGUCGGUCGUGCCAUCGGUAUGAACUGGUCUCGCUGAUCCCUCCCUCUUGACGAACUGUGAUGCCAUUAAUUUGGUGUCGCAGGGAAUCAGGACUGUUACUUUGAAAAAAUUAGAGUGUUUAAAGCAGGCUCACGCUUGAAUACAUUAGCAUGGAAUAAUGAAAUAGGACGUUUGAUCCUAUUUUGUUGGUUUCUAGGAUUGACGUAAUGAUUAAUAGGGAUAGUUGGGGGCAUUAGUAUUCAAUUGUCAGAGGUGAAAUUCUUGGAUUUAUUGAAGACUAACUACUGCGAAAGCAUUUGCCAAGGAUGUUUUCAUUAAUCAAGAACGAAAGUUAGGGGAUCGAAGACGAUCAGAUACCGUCGUAGUCUUAACCAUAAACUAUGCCGACUAGGGAUCGGAUGAUGUUAAUUUUUUAAUGACUCU
rnacentral:misc_RNA from 1 species